CAGUCGCCGCGGGAAUACGGAGGGUGCAAGCGUUAAUCGGAAUUACUGGGCGUAAAGCGCACGCAGGCGGUCUGACAAGUCAGAUGUGAAAUCCCUGAGCUUAACUUAGGAAUUGCAUUCGAUACUGGGAAGCUAGAGUAUGGGAGAGGAUGGUAGAAUUCCAGGUGUAGCGGUGAAAUGCGUAGAGAUCUGGAGGAAUACCGAUGGCGAAGGCAGCCAUCUGGCCUAAUACUGACGCUGAGGUACGAAAGCAUGGGGAGCAAACAGGAUUAGAUACCCCUGUAGUCCCUGUCUCUUAUAC
rnacentral:rRNA from 1 species